GGGAUUUUGGUAUCUGCUGGGGUUACUGGUGUUUUGGAGUCUUACGGAGACUAGGUUAUGGGAUAUAAAGACGACCUAUGUCUCUUCCUACAUUUUAUUCUGCCUUUGCCUGAAGCUCAGCUGCUGACUUACUUGUGGAGGUUGACAGUUCUGACUGAGGUCUGGUCCAAGUUGAGAAUGGUCCAGAGACAUGCGUGUGUCUUCUAAACCCAUUUCCCCGCACCAGACUGACGCCGCCUGGCUGCUUGCCGCUCUCCUGUAGGCAUGCUAGAUGAGACAGGCCGUGGUGUAUAUGGCAUAUAUGCCAUGCUGUAUAUGCAUGUCCUUUGGUUCUACGUGCAGUUCCAUUCCUUCUCUCUUAUUCAAGGAAGUAUGUGGCUUUGCAGGAUGUGGAUUUUGGAUGAGCUGGAAAUAGAACCAUUUCCUUCUAGCUCGGAGUUGCAGGGAGAGAAGGUAUGAUACAAAAGAAUUUUCUCUGUUUCUCCAGGCUUAAUGCUGUGCUCAAUUGUCUUUAAUUUUCUUGUCAGAACAGACAGGUUAAAUAUCAUAUCUCCUUCGCCCUCUGCCAGCAUCUCCUGGCCUGCUAAGCUUGGGCUGUAGUUAAAUACAUUUUAGCAGCAGCUUUUUUGUUUCUUUUCUUUUAAAAGAGCCAAGUAAAGAGUAAACAUGUUGUUUCUUUGCUUUCCCAUUUAAGUAAAUCUCUCUCUUUUUCAUUUCUAAAAGUCUCUUCGCUCUAGUGGAUUUGGUGCUUACAUGAAUCUCAUCAACUCUUAAUGCAUGCAUUUUUGGAAGAAGCAUUAGAAAAUAAUCCCUCUGCCUCUUUCACUCUGCCUGAGCCCCCAGCUAGUCUAGCUAAAAAGCCAUUUCUGCAUAAAAAUGCCAUCAUCCUUUGGUCAAACACAUAGCUGAGAGAGUGUUCCGUGGUUAACUUGUAAUUGGUUAAUUUGUAUUAUGCGAGUUCCAUUCCUCUCUCUGUUGACAAAGGCAGCUUUGUCUACCAGUAGCACUGCCCCAUGGAUGGAAAUGUCCUGCAUCCCUGGUGUCCAGUAUGCAGCCGCUGGCCACAAGGUGAGCGCUUGAAAUAUAUGCCUUGUGCAACUGAAGAACCAUUUUCAGCUUUAUUUAAUCUUAAUUCAUUGAAAUGAGAAAAAGCCAUAUGUGGCUUUUGUGGACGUGCAGGUCUAUGAACAAGAUCGCUCUUGAUUAGAAGGGAAUAACUCCUGCCCUCUCCCCCGUGUGCUGCUCUACAGACCACCUUGAACGCCUGGUGAGGGCUUACAUGUCCCCCUGAGGGGAGUGGGGUGGGGUGGUUGGCUUCCUGAACUGCUCCGGACUCCUCUUCCACCAAGCACACCACUGCUCUCAGCUCUCAGUGGUCCCGGAGUACAUCUGGUCAUAGGGGGGAUGGUAGGUCCCACAGCAGUGGCAGAGCCUGAGCUACAGGUGGGGAGCUCUUAGA
rnacentral:lncRNA from 1 species